rnacentral:SRP_RNA from 1 species
GCUGGGCGUGGUGGCUCACGUCUGUAAUCCAAACACUUUGGGAGGCAGAGACAGGUGGAUCAUUUGAGGUCAGGAGUUCCAGACUAGCCUGGCCAACAUGGUGAAACCCUGUCUCUA